rnacentral:lncRNA from 1 species
AGUUUGUGAGGAUUGAAAGCCAAUUUUUAAUGCUAUCAAAGAGUAGAGAUUCUAGUUAAAUAUUUAUACUUGAUUUUAAAUUUAUUUAAAAUUUUUUAAAGUAAAUAUGCUCUAACUAUUUUCUCGAAUCCCUACACUCCUCGGACAGGAAAAUGAGAACCUCUUCAUGAAUUAGGAUUUCUAUCAGGUCUACAGUCCCAUCGAUUGACAUGCUACCUUACCUGGC